UUGCUAAUGGAGCCAUUUGAAUUCAAGGAGUUUCCAGUCCGAAUCUAUCAGUGCAUUGGAGAUGUUGCAGGGUUGCUUUGUUUGUUUUUCAGCCCCGGCACCAGGAGUCCAAAGGACCUACAAGAAGCCUAGAGAUUUUUUAAUUCCUGGUUCAGCGUUUCUUGAUUCUUUGUGCUUCUUGGGACCAGAGCACCUGAACAUGUGUGUCCUGGUAGAAGCUCUUCUUUAGGCACUGUCCAGCAGUGAAGUCAUCAUCCUGUAUUAUGACAUCAUACCUUGUUGCCACGGAUAUGAUUGCUGUAAUAAAUUCAACCUUAUGACUUUAAAGAAAAAAAUGAUGUGAAUUUAGUGCUGUUGAAAGGCCCUGGAUUAAAAGCCUUGGAAAUUAAAGCCUGCCAUAUAACCACAGAAGAUCUCAACCAUCUCUUGGAGGGACCAGCUCUGCGGGUUGGAGGGAAGUUCAGUGUCCCUGGCCCCAUUCAUUCCUUGGCCUCUGUUGACGCUGCCAAGUAGUGUCAGGUGUGACAAUGGUUUAUGUGACGUGAACAACAAUUCAGACAUAUUGCAGGACAGGUUGCAGGAUUAGGUGGGAGAAGAUGACGGAGAAAAUGUGUCUGUUUAUGUACAAACCUUGUGGAUUAUUAGCAAUAGUGACAACUAUAUAAAUAACACACGGUUGUCACUGCAAAAGGAUCUGUGACUUUAAGCACAAUCUGUAAAGGAUUAACAGUUUCCCUCUAAUGCCAAAAAUCUGAUGAAUCUAUGGACUAUAGAAGGGGAAAAAAACAAUAUUCAGAUCAGAACAAGGAUUCUUUACCCAAUUGCGGGGGGAGAGGGGGUGCAUGCAUGCAACGUGCAUGGUUUUUUGUAAUUCAUCUUAAUCAAUCCAUUGAUCCCUUGAUUUUUAAUUCUGCUAGCUCUGAUUUCUUGUCUAUACUUUGACACUGAAAGUACUUUAGGAAAGUCUGAGACGCACUGAAUUACAAACCAAGGCGAGAACUGGAAAAUCGUAAAUCUAACAGGGCUGCCAUUAUAAUGUAAUCAGGAUUCUAAAAAAGAUUACAUUGAUGGAAAAAACAUUCCUAGACCUUUCCUGAUGAUGUUGGAUAGUUUUCCCUACUCUGUUUUGCCUCUGGUUCUGUGUGAGAUUAAUAUAGUUUCUUUUAAAAUCUAUUUUCUUCCCAUUCAUGCAUAUGACCCCACAGACUGUAAACCUGAUUCUCCUCUCCCAGCAGUGUGAAUGAGGAGUAACUCCAGCAAAGCCAAUGGUGCGAAACUGCCGAUGAGCUCAGACUCGGAUCCUGGGCAUUGUACUUGAAUCAAGGCAUUCCAAUUGACAUAAAAUUAGUUCCCUUGACGACAAGUACUCUAUUGAAAGGGAAAUGGACAAGGCAUCAGGUCCCAAAUGUGUGUUCUAAUCUCAUUAGCAAGAGGUCCGCAGAUUCCAGACUAGAAAGAAAGUUUGCUUCUAUAAUUGCCUUUCAUUCAAAGCAUUUUACAGACAUUGAUUAAUUAAGCAUCAAAAUCCCUUUCCCAAUGAGGAAAGUAUGACCCCAUUUUACAGAAUGGUCAGUCCAGACAGAGAGGUGUGAAGGGACUUUUCCUCUCAAAAGUUACCUCUCCAUCACUGGGAAAUGGAAAGAAAAAUGCCUAUUUUUGUAGGGCUUACAAAAAUCAUGGUGCUUUGUGGUCCCCCUGCUGGCCGCGCAGCAUCAUUUCACCACAGCAUUGCCACAGCCGCACUGGCCUCACAUGGGCUCCUGAUGCACAAAGAAAGACACUUGCUUGGCAUCCAACUGAGGUGGUUGUUAAACAAAAACAACAUUAACUUCAGUUCCCCUGAAAACAAUGGGGAGGAAAAUCCACAUCUGCCAAAUGUAAAAUGAUAAAAAUCAGCUGGCAAAGCCAUUGUUGUUCAAGCUGCCAAGCGGGUAUUACAAAUCAGGGAGAUGAAAACACAUUGAAAACUGGUAGAAAUGAAAUAGAAUGACUUGGCCCUAGGCUAUGGUGUUGCAGAGAACCUCUGGAAUGAAUGUAAUCCCAUUUGUCAUGUGAGUUUAAUUUUCUUUAUUAAUCAGUUAGACAUUAUCAUUAAUAAAUAUAAUAUCUGCUGUAUCCAACUUGCCAUCUUAAUGUGAAUUUCCACAAACUUUAGGUGAAGCAGGAGGCCUGCUUAUUAUUAAUACUGAGCCUUCUCCUGCUACACUCACUCACACCAACUAGUAACUUACACCAAGUAGUAACUUAAUUGAUUUCAACAGGGCUACUCACGGAUUCAAAUACUAUGCAACUUGAGUAAAGAGUGGUAGAAUAGGGCCCCUUGUACUAGUACUGAAAACAUGCUAGAUGCUGUUCAAAGCAGAGCUUAAUUCUCGGUCACGCUGUACCUUGUACAGUCCAUUUACAUCUGAGCAAAGUGGGUGUAAAACACGACCGGUUUAAUUCAGUAGCCGUUAACACCCAUUUUGCACUGAUUUAUAUAACUACCCAAGGUGCAGGGCAUCAGUGAAUCAGGCCUAUGUUCCCCUAGAGUGGCCUAGUUGUAUAACUGUAGUAAAAUAUAUGGUAUUGAACUGAAUAGUUUAAAAAGUAGCGAGAAUCCAGGCCAAUUUUAAGCCAACUGGUGACGUACAAAAUGGCAUGCAGACUCAGGAUGUGGGAAACGUAUGACUGAAUUAAUAGGUUUCUAAUGUUGGAAGAUUCAAGUCCAUCUUCCAGUGAGAUAAUUAUAAACAAAUAAAAAACCCCACUCAUCACCGCCAUUGGAAGACACUUGUUUUUGCUUUGCAGUCCAACUUCUUUAUAAUAUCAUUGCUUGCCACACAGCGGCAAAAACUCCAGAUUUAGGCUGCACCAGGGAUGAAAUUAAUCUGGUCCUUGCCCGUGUGUGACACCAGGACAUGCCCCAUCAGUAGGCUAGAAAGCAUGUUCUAGCCAGUAAAUAAUAUGGCACCGUUUAUUUUUCUCAAUGCUGAAGUUUCUCUUAAUCAAAGAGUUU